AAUUAGGUGGGUCAGCCUCAUACGAAAAAAUCGUGCGGGGUCGGGAUCUUAACAAUUGCUUCCAUUCAGCUUCCUGGUAUAGCUAAGAUGUUUUCCAGUGAGGUGAUGUCAGCUUCUGCAUGGAUUCAUCUGUUGGCCAUAGAUCUUUUUGCUACAAGGCGCCAUUCUCUGUUUGCCCCGAUGGAAUUCUUACUCACUUCAUCACCAAAGCUCUAACUAGUAUCCCAGAAGAGAGACCGCGUAGGACUCAUUAACCGAUGUUUUAGACCUUCUUAUGUUAGCUGUAAAUGAUCAGCCAGUGCGUGACUAUCAGGACCGAUCUGCUAUGCGACUGCAUAGUUAUCAAAAGUUUUAUGAAUCCUUUGAAAACAUCAUUUACUUCAAAGAAGUAGAAUAUGGAAUACUGGUGUGUAGUCCUAGCAUAGUGAAUAAACCUACUUUUAAUACAAUAUGAUUUCAGCA